AUGCUCCUUAUUGUUUUGUUGCAUUCAGACAGAUUUACUGUCACCCUUUUAGAAACACAGACAGUGUUGAAUAAUGUGUUCUUCAAACAACAUGUAGAGAAGAUUCACCUAAGUAAGGAAGCCAGGACAACACCUAAUUCUAUCCAUGAUGGUCAGCUAAGCCAGGCUCUGUUGGACUUUGCCUCGCGUCACAAGUACUUACUCAUGCUUCUCCAGAAGCAGAAUGAACUGCUCAAGCAUAAAUUGAAGAUGUCCACAGACCAGCACUGUUCCAGCUCCAAUACCUCAACAGAAAUAUCAGCACUGAAUGAUCCAAAGCAUAGUCUACCUGUCACUGACCAGGAUGAGGAACACAGUAAUGUGUGUCACCAUAAUUAUUCCACUUCCAAUCACUCACACCUGGAAUCACAGAGUGUUACCUCAAACCUUGCUUGCCCUAGUUUGCUGUCAGAAAGGCCUGCAACCCCUGAUGAUAAUAGGAUUUCGAGAGGUCUAAAUAGGAAGGGAGUUAUUCAGCCAGAAGAUAAUACUUUGGAAGUGCCACUAAUGGUAAUACAUUUUUAAUUACAAGAGAUAACUAUUAUUAUCCUCUGUCAUGACCGUAUAGCCCUUUAGGAAGAUCUAUUUAAAGGUUAUUAAGAAUAAGGUGUGUCUUUCUUUCUCUUUAUCUCAGGGUUCCAGCCAAGAGUCCUCUCUUAAACACACCAGAGGCAAAACCUCCAGUGCUGCAAAGCACAAGGUCAGCUCUGUUCUUUAUUCAGAGCCAUAAUUGCACAUGCACAUGAUCUUUAUUGGUGCACUACCAGCAGUUUAUUGAGAUAAAAGCAGGUUUAAAGGCACAAGGUCCUUUAGUAUAGGGUGUGGGCAAUAGCCUAUUACUACUGCUCCCUGCACCAAGCCUACCUACCUGUCAGUGCUGCUCCCAGCAGAGUCCAGUAAAGAGCAUUUAUGUAUGAAUAAUUUAAUGCUGCACUGCAGAGCUAUCCCAGCAAACACAUAAUAAUGGCAUUUACAUAAUAACAGUUUGAGGUUGUUCAUUAAGAAAUUAAGAUACAGAUUAGAUACAGAACUUACACUUGUAAAGUAUGUAAAAAAAUAUAUAUAUGUGUGUGAUAUUUAAUUUUGACAGGUGAUGACACGUGGAUCAAAGACACCAAAGGAUUGCUCAUUAACUGCAGUUUUCAGUUCAAGAAGUGGACCACAACAACAGCAAGUGCAUGCACCAGGGCUCACUUGUACCAGAUCUUCUGCAGAAGGUGUUGCAUGGCUAAGAAAGUAGUACAUACACUGUGGUUAGAAGAUUCUUUCAUGUGUUCCGAUCCUGUACUCACUUACCCCGCCCAAAGCUUUACUUCCUACACAUGAAACCUCAACAUUUCUGCUGUAAACAACGUACAGAGUGAGUCAGAAGCUGCAGGACAACAUUUUAUGUCAGAAACGAAAGGGAAACAUAAUUAAAAGGAGCAUUACAUUACAUUGUAUUUAGCGGAUGCUUUUAACCAAAGUGACAAAUAAUGAUAUACAUAAGCAAGAUUAAAACAUUUAUUAAGGCUAUUAAGAGACCAGAAGAGUAUCAUUGUGAUGGAGGAAAAGAUGAGGAAUAAGGUUAAAAAUUGUUCGUUUGUUAAAGGUGUUUGGAGAGUAGAGCUCCAAAUGGUCCAGCGGGCUAAGCGCUGCCACUGUGAUCAGGAUAUCAUCGGUUUGAAUCCUGUUCAUGUAGUUUUCCAUCAAAUACCAGAGCCUGAGAGAGCACAAUUAGCUUUGCUCUCUCCGGGUAGGUAAAUUACACUCUCUCCCCACAUCACUCCAAAGGGUGAUGUUGGUCAGCACAAGGCAUCUGUACGCCCAUGUGUCUGAGCCAAUUCGCCGUGCUUUCCUCCAAGCGCGCUGUGAUGCUACUCAGUAAUUGAAAAGAGGUGAUGGCUUCACAUGUAUCUAUUCUUCCCCCUCCUGGUGUUGGGGGUAUCACUAGUAUUAAUGAGUGUGUUGGGCAAUUGUGGGUUAGGCAAUUGUCCUUGUAAAUUAGGGAGAAAAUGAGUGUUUAGAAUGUAAGUGCUUAUUGAAGAGCUCAGUCUUUGGAAGGUUCUUGAAGGUAGUUCAUGAGGGACUGUCAAGCUCUGGUAGCAGUAGGUAGUUUGUUCCACGAUUGGGAAGCUAGGUAGAAAGAAAGUCUUGAUUGCUUUGUGUGAAUGUUUGGCUAAGCUAGGCAAUGUUCACUGGAGGAGUGCAAAAGCCAGGAGGUAACAUAAGCCUUUGGAAGCAAAUGAAUGUAGGAGGGAGCCUGCUCCUUUAUCACCUUAUAGGCAAUCAUUAGGGCUUUACAUUUAUUACGAGCAGCAACCAGUAGACGAGCUCAAUGAGCAGUGGGGUGAUCUACCAAAUACUCCAGAAUGUAAUGAGUAAGGGGGCCUAUAUAUUACAGCAUGGCCGUCAUCUUGAAAGCUGCCACAUUUCAUUUCUAAGAUAUAAAGGGUGUCCUGACUGUUGACUCACUCUGUAUAAUUGGCCAAGGCCUUUACCACCUUUAUAAUCCUUUCCAAGAAUGAAUAGUUUUUUUUUUUUUUUUUUUUAAAUAAAUACUGUAGUUCAGGCUGGACA
rnacentral:lncRNA from 1 species